rnacentral:rRNA from 1 species
GCUAUUUUUAUGAAGAGCGGCGAACGGGUGAGUAACGCGUGGGAAAUCUGCCGAGUAGCGGGGGACAACGUUUGGAAACGAACGCUAAUACCGCAUAACAAUGAGAAUCGCAUGAUUCUUAUUUAAAAGAAGCAAUUGCUUCACUUCUUGAUGAUCCCGCGUUGUAUUAGCUAGUUGGUAGUGUAAAGGACUACCAAGGCGAUGAUACAUAGCCGACCUGAGAGGGUGAUCGGCCACACUGGGACUGAGACACGGCCCAGACUCCUACGGGAGGCAGCAGUAGGGAAUCUUCGGCAAUGGGGGCAACCCUGACCGAGCAACGCUCGCGUGAGUGAAGAAGGUUUUCGGAUCGUAAAACUUCUGUUUGUUAGAGAAGAACGUUAAGUAGAGUGGAAAAUUACCUUAAGUUGACGGUUUUUAACCAGAAAGGGACGGCUAACUCCGUGCCAGCAGCCGCGGAAUACCUUAGCACCAAGCGUUGUCCGGAUCUAUUGGGCGCU